AGUUUUAAGUGAAGAGUUUGAUCCUGGCUCAGAGUGAACGCUGGCGGUAGGCCUAACACAUGCAAGUCGAACGGCAGCACAGAGGAGCUUGCUCCUUGGGUGGCGAGUGGCGGACGGGUGAGGAAUACAUCGGAAUCUACUUUUUCGUGGGGGAUAACGUAGGGAAACUUACGCUAAUACCGCAUACGACCUACGGGUGAAAGCAGGGGACCUUCGGGCCUUGCGCGAUUGAAUGAGCCGAUGUCGGAUUAGCUAGUUGGCGGGGUAAAGGCCCACCAAGGCGACGAUCCGUAGCUGGUCUGAGAGGAUGAUCAGCCACACUGGAACUGAGACACGGUCCAGACUCCUACGGGAGGCAGCAGUGGGGAAUAUUGGACAAUGGGCGCAAGCCUGAUCCAGCCAUACCGCGUGGGUGAAGAAGGCCUUCGGGUUGUAAAGCCCUUUUGUUGGGAAAGAAAUCCAGCCGGCUAAUACCUGGUUGGGAUGACGGUACCCAAAGAAUAAGCACCGGCUAACUUCGUGCCAGCAGCCGCGGUAAUACGAAGGGUGCAAGCGUUACUCGGAAUUACUGGGCGUAA
rnacentral:rRNA from 1 species